CCUGGAAGGAGGCGUCAGCUCGUUGUCUCAGCCAGCGUGGUAAACUGACCAUGAUCUGCAGCUCUGCAGUCCUCCUGAAGCUUUUCUGAUCUCCUUGUUUUUCCUUGCCUUGCAGAAUCAGUUCUGCAAGGCAGGGAAAGCCAUGUCGAUCCAGGCAUGAGUCUCCAUUCCACUCCAACCUCCAGCCCAGCUGCUCAAGAGCCUCCUCAUGGGAACACCUGACUCUCACUCACCUGCCUGUCCACCCUCCAACACCGCCGAGCCGAACACAGCAGAGCUACCCAAGAAACACAGAGUGUAAACUAAAGAAUCUCACCACUCCGUUCCUCACCAACCUCAGCCACCGUGGAAAAGAUGUAUUCUUCCCCAGAAAAUCUCCAGCCUCUUCAUCCGAAGAGCAAUGUGGCUGUUAUGCUGGCUGUGGAACAAUAGACUACGGCCUAUCAUCACAAAAAAUCCUAAGACUAAAAGAAACCCUUAGUAACGUCAUUCUGAGAAAAACCACUCCAGGCCAAGCACAGUCCUAGUAAAAGGCUGUGAUUGGCAGUUGAAGGGACGCAGCUGCAGCUCCAUAGGACUAAUCAGCUGGGGUAUAAAGAGGACCUGGAAACCAGAGAGAGAUACCAGAUCAACUGCUAAUUAGAACCUUUCUGGGAGGGCUUCCAGGAUCUCAGACCAGUUCCCUAAUCUCUGAAUUUUACUGCAGCCUUCUGGGUCCAUCAGUUAGUCUCCUCUGUGCUACUAUGAUCCUCCAAAAGGCAUGCUCAUCAGUCCACAACUCUGCUGCCACUGCUCACUCACCUGCCUGUCCACCCUCAUACACUGAUGGCCAUCUCCAUCUGGGGAAAGAUACAAAUGACUCAGCAUCACCCCCGCCACCGAGCAUAGCCACCUGUCAACCUCAGUUCCUGUGAGUUUGCUCACCUUUCCCCGACCUCCCACCAUACUUCUCACAAUGCCCGAUCAGAACUCAAAAACCCGAACCAGACAAUUCCUCCUGUUCCCAAGAAUAAAACAUUUAAAAACGC